GAUGAACGCUGGCGGCGUGCCUAAUACAUGCAAGUCGAGCGAACGGACGAGAAGCUUGCUUCCCUGAUGUUAGCGGCGGACGGGUGAGUAACACGUGGAUAACCUACCUAUAAGACUGGGAUAACUUCGGGAAACCGGAGCUAAUACCGGAUAAUAUUUUGAACCGCAUGGUUCAAGAGUGAAAGACGGUCUUGCUGUCACUUAUAGAUGGAUCCGCGCUGCAUUAGCUAGUUGGUAAGGUAACGGCUUACCAAGGCAACGAUGCAUAGCCGACCUGAGAGGGUGAUCGGCCACACUGGAACUGAGACACGGUCCAGACUCCUACGGGAGGCAGCAGUAGGGAAUCUUCCGCAAUGGGCGAAAGCCUGACGGAGCAACGCCGCGUGAGUGAUGAAGGUCUUCGGAUCGUAAAACUCUGUUAUUAGGGAAGAACAUAUGUGUAAGUAACUGUGCACAUCUUGACGGUACCUAAUCAGAAAGCCACGGCUAACUACGU
rnacentral:rRNA from 1 species